ACUGUUCGAGGCCAGUGUUUCAUAAUAAUAGAUUAUUCCUUUAAACCAGUCGUAUGGACCGAGUCUUGAUUUUGUCGUGAGGAGUGCAGCUGUGGUCAGGCAGAGGUUAAUGGUUCCGCGCUCUGGCGGCUGGGCAGGCGCGGAGCUGCGGCGCUCUGACGCGGGGAUGGAGAGCUCAGAGAUGCGCUGCUGCUGCUGCUCCGACAGGAUCCCGCGGCCUGCUGCUUUCUCCGCUCUUCUGCGCCGAAGCUUUAAAUCACGGAUUUUUGGAGUUUCCUGGUGUGGAGUCCCCAAAGAAAAGAUACACCAAUAGGUAGGCUGUUCUUUCUUUCUUUCUUUCUUUCUUUCUUUCUUUCUUUCUUUGACCUUUAAAAGCACUACAUACAUUUAUGUUACUUGAAAAGUAAUUCUGCGAUUCCAGAAAGAAGCUUUCGUUUUAUAUUUUUAAUUAAAUUUGAAAUCUCUAUUUCCAUCUCUAUUUUCCCAGGUUGUGGUUUUAGCCUACAUUUUCAGUAUAAAUCUUUUAUUCUUUUGUCUAAUUUUUGGUGUUUUUUGAGCAGUAUGAUAUGGAGUCAUAAAAAAUCUGGACAAUUGAGCAGAAGAAAUUAGUUAAAAUGAAACAAAAGUUGCAUUCUGAUCAUUCCUGCUUGUCCUUUAAGCCCAUUGACUUUCAAAUUCUUGCAUGCUUUUUCACUCUGCCCAUAUAAGUUUGAGCUAAUUUCCUGAGCCCUUCAGCUGCUCGUAAUGCUGAUUGGCAAAUGUGUUCCAGAGCGGUUGGCGUCAUCUUCAGUAAAGCCUCAGUGCUGAUGAUGUAAAGAUUUGGCUGUAAGCUGCUAUAAGCUUAUGAGCCAGUCAGUCCCAAUCAAUUUACUCUCCUCUUAGUCCAGUUAAAGCUCCACACACGGAGGCCACAAUGGCGUAAUGCUGGCGGUUAUGGUCUGGGGCGCAUAAAGAGAACUUCUCCAUUUGGAUGCUUGCACAUUGUUUUGGCGGCAGUGUGACGCUGGGGUCACUGAGAGCUCACGGUUUAGGAAGGAGUUGCCUAAGUUAAUGGAACGUGUAGUUUGAAGACAUAGUAGUUAGACUGAUUACAGAAGAAAAGAGAAAGAAAUUGCUUGGUUAAACAAAUUGCUAAUCAGCCAAUCAGAUGGCAGCAACUCAAUGCAUUUAGGCAUCUAGAUGUGGUGAAGAUGACUUGCUGAAGUUCAAACCAAGCAUCAGAAUGGGGAAGAAAGGGGAUUUAAGUGACUUUGGACGUGGAAUGGUUGUUGGUGCCAGACGGGCUGGUCUGAGUAUUUCAAAAACUGCUGAUC
ensembl:lncRNA